rnacentral:misc_RNA from 1 species
UGGUUCUGGCAUCGAUGAAGAACGCAGCGAAAUGCGAUACGUAGUGUGAAUUGCAGAAUUCAGUGAAUCAUCGAAUCUUUGAACGCACAUUGCGCCCUUUGGUAUUCCAAAGGGCAUGCCUGUUCGAGCGUCAUUUGUACCCUCAAGCUUUGCUUGGUGUUGGGCGUCUUUGUCUCUCACGAGACUCGCCUUAAAAUGAUUGGCAGCCGACCUACUGGUUUCGGAGCGCAGCACAAUUCUUGCACUUUGAAUCAGCCUUGGUUGAGCAUCCAUCAAGACCACAUUUUUUUCAACUUUUGACCUCGGAUCAGGUAGGGAUACCCGCUGA